UCGUAAAACGCUUCGAUACGGAUGGUAUUCAAGUCCCCCGAGUGAUUUCCGUACACGAAUCCGUCGAAUUUUGCAGGUGGGAGACUCUGAGCAUGAGCAUUCAGAUGAAAGAAGAAGAAGAAGAAAGAAACUGCAAUUGAUUGAAGCGUUGAGCAACUGGAUUUUGGUUUCUCCAUUUUUGUUCUUACGAUGGAGCUUCGUUUAUCCCGGAAGAGAGCUGCCGCCUUUG